CUGGAAUGGGUAAUGACUCAAAUCUACAUGGCCCCUGGAUUGGACUGCGGCCGAUCAGGCUGUUGGUGAGGUAAUGGCCCACCAAACCUGUAACCGGUACGGGCUCUGAGAGGAGGAGCCCGGAGAUGGGCACUGAGACAAGGGCCCAGGCCCUAUGGGGCGCAGCAGGCGCGAAACCUCUGCAAUAGGCGAAAGCCUGACAGGGUUACUCUGAGUGAUUUCCGUUAAGGAGAUCUUUUGGCACCUCUAAAAAUGGUGCAGAAUAAGGGGUGGGCAAGUCUGGUGUCAGCCGCCGCGGUAAUACCAGCACCCCGAGUGGUCGGGACGUUUAUUGGGCCUAAAGCAUCCGUAGCCGGUUCUACAAGUCUUCCGUUAAAUCCACCUGCUUAACAGAUGGGCUGCGGAAGAUACUAUAGAGCUAGGAGGCGGGAGAGGCAAGCGGUACUCGAUGGGUAGGGGUAAAAUCCGUUGAUCCAUUGAAGACCACCAGUGGCGAAGGCGGCUUGCCAGAACGCGCUCGACGGUGAGGGAUGAAAGCUGGGGGAGCAAACCGGAUUAGAUACCCGGGUAGUCCCAGCUGUAAACGAUGCAGACUCGGUGAUGAGUUGGCUUCUUGCCAACUCAGUGCCGCAGGGAAGCCGUUAAGUUUGCCGCCUGGGGAGUACGGUCGCAAGACUGAAACUUAAAGGAAUUGGCGGGGGAGCACCACAAGGGGUGAAGCCUGCGGUUCAAUUGGAUUCAACGCCGGA
rnacentral:rRNA from 1 species